GGCUCAGGAUGAACGCUAGCUACAGGCUUAACACAUGCAAGUCGAGGGGCAGCGUGAACUCAGCUUGCUGACGUUGACGGCGACCGGCGCACGGGUGAGUAACACGUAUCCAACCUGCCCGCUACUCUGGGAUAGCCUUUCGAAAGAAAGAUUAAUACCGGAUGGUAUCGAGAGACUGCAUGAUCACCCGAUUAAAGAUACUCCGGUAAACGAUGGGGAUGCGUUCCAUUAGAUAGUUGGCGGGGUAACGGCCCACCUAACCUACGAUGGAUAGGGGUUCUGAGAGGAAGGUCCCCCACAUUGGAACUGAGACACGGUCCAAACUCCUACGGGAGGCAGCAGUGAGGAAUAUUGGUCAAUGGGCGAAAGCCUGAACCAGCCAAGUAGCGUGAAGGAUGACUGCCCUACGGGUUGUAAACUUCUUUUAUAAAGGAAUAAAGUAUGCUAUGUGUACACGUUUGCAUGUACUUUAUGAAUAAGGAUCGGCUAACUCCGUGCCAGCAGCCGCGGUAAUACGGAGGAUGCGAGCGUUAUCCGGAUUUAUUGGGUUUAAAGGGAGCGUAGACGGACGUUUAAGUCAGCUGUGAAAUGGUGCGGCUCAACCGUAACACUGCAGUUGAUACUGGAUAGCUUGAGUGCAGUUGAGGCAGGCGGAAUUCGUGGUGUAGCGGUGAAAUGCUUAGAUAUCACGAAGAACUCCGAUUGCGAAGGCAGCCUGCUAAGCUGCAACUGACAUUGAGGCUCGAAAGUGUGGGUAUCAAACAGGAUUAGAUACCCUGGUAGUCCACACGGUAAACGAUGAAUACUCGCUGUUGGCGAUAUACAGUCAGCGGCCAAGUGAAAACGUUAAGUAUUCCACCUGGGGAGUACGCCGGCAACGGUGAAACUCAAAGGAAUUGACGGGGGCCCGCACAAGCGGAGGAACAUGUGGUUUAAUUCGAUGAUACGCGAGGAACUUUACCGGGGCUGAAAUGCAGAAGAGUCUAUCCGGAGACGGAUAGGCCGCAAGGCAUCUGUGAAGGUGCUGCAUGGUUGUCGUCAGCUCGUGCCGUGAGGUGUCGGCUUAAGUGCCAUAACGAGCGCAACCCUUAUCUUCAGUUACUAACAGGUCAUGCUGAGGACUCUGGAGAGACUGCCAUCGUAAGAUGUGAGGAAGGUGGGGAUGACGUCAAAUCAGCACGGCCCUUACGUCCGGGGCUACACACGUGUUACAAUGGGGGGUACAGAAGGCAGCGACCGGGCGACAGGAAGCCAAUCCCAAAAGCCUCUCUCAGUUCGGAUUGGAGUCUGCAACCCGACUUCGUGAAGCUGGAUUCGCUAGUAAUCGCGCAUCAGCCACGGCGCGGUGAAUACGUUCCCGGGCCUUGUACACACCGCCCGUCAAGCCAUGAAAGCCGGGGGUACCUGAAGUGCGUAACCGCGAGGAGCGUCCUAGGGUAAAACCGGUAA
rnacentral:rRNA from 1 species